UUGUAACAAGGUCUCCGUUGGUGAACCAGCGGAGGGAUCAUUA
rnacentral:rRNA from 1 species